rnacentral:rRNA from 1 species
UGGCUGCAGUGAGGAAUUUUGCGCAAUGGGGGAAACCCUGACGCAGCAACGCCGCGUGAGUGAUGAAGGCCUUCGGGUCGUAAAGCUCUGUCAAGUGGGAAGAACCCGCAUCUUGUUAAUACCAGGAUGCGCUGACGGUACCACUGAAGGAAGCACCGGCUAACUCCGUGCCAGCAGCCGCGGUAAUACGGGGGGUGCAAGCGUUACUCGGAAUCAUUGGGCGUAAAGGGCGCGUAGGCGGCUUGGUCAGUCAGGUGUGAAAGCCCGGGGCUUAACCCCGGAAGUGCAUUUGAUACUACCUAGCUUGAGUAUGGGAGAGGGAAGUGGAAUUCCUGGUGUAGAGGUGAAAUUCGUAGAUAUCAGGAGGAACACCUGUGGCGAAGGCGACUUCCUGGACCAAUACUGACGCUGAGGCGCGAAGGCGUGGGGAGCAAACAGGAUUAGAUACCCCAGUAGUC